rnacentral:tRNA from 1 species
GCGUCCUUAGCUCAACGGAUAGAGCACCGGUCUUCGGAACCGGCAAUGGGGGUUCGAUUCCCUCAGGACGCACCA